CAACACCGAAGCCGUGGACUCCGUAAGGAGUGGUAGAGGAGCAUUCUUAAAACCGACGAAGCUGUACCGGUAAGGAGCAGUGGAGGGAUAAGAAGAGAGAAUGCCGGAAUGAGUAGCGAGAGGAAGGUGGGAAUCCUUCCGGCCGGAUAUCUAAGGUUUCCAGAGUAAAGCUGAUCUGCUCUGGGUAAGUCGGGGCCUAAGGAGAGGUCGCAAGACGUAUCCGAUGGACAACAGGUUUAGAUUCCUGUACCGCAUAUAAACAGAACUGUGGGGACGCAUGUGGAAAGCAUAAGCCGGGAAUGGAAAGACCGGUACAAGCGAGGUAGGUGUGUGACAGGCAAAUCCGUCGCAUAAGCCGAAGACGUGAUGUGGAGCGAAAUUUAGUAGUGAAGUAUGUGAGCCAUGUGCCGAGAAAAGCCGCUAUUGUUUUAUAUGUGCCCGUACCGUAAACCGACACAGGUGGAUGAAGAGAGAAUCCUAAGGCCGACGGAAGAAGCAUUGUUAAGGAAUUCGGCAAAAUGACCCCGUAACUUCGGGAGAAGGGGUGCCCACUAAAUGGUGGGCCGCAGAGAAUAGGCUCAAGCAACUGUUUAGCAAAAACACAGGUCUAUGCGAAACCGAAAGGUGAAGUAUAUGGGCUGACGCCUGCCCGGUGCUGGAAGGUUAAGAGGAGAGGUUAGCAAAGCGAAGCUUUGAAUUUAAGCCCCAGUAAACGGCGGCCGUAACAAUAACGGUCCUAAGGUAGCGAAAUUCCUUGUCGGGUAAGUUCCGACCCGCACGAAAGGCGUAAUGAUUUGAGCACUGUCUCGACAAUGCAUCCGGUGAAAUUGAAGUACCAGUGAAGAUGCUGGUUACCCGCGCCAGGACGGAAAGACCCCAUGGAGCUUUACUCCAGUUUGAUACUGGGAUUCGGUACUGCACGUACAGGAUAGGUGGGAGACUGAGAACUAUGGACGCCAGUCUGUAGGGAGUCGCUGUUGGGAUACCACCCCUGUAGUACUGGGUUUCUAACCAUCUGCCGUGAUCCGGCAGUGGGACAAUGUCAGGCGGGGAGUUUGACUGGGGCGGUCGCCUCCGAAAGGGUAUCGGAGGCGCUCAAAGGUUCCCUCAGAAUGGUCGGAAACCAUUUGAAGAGUGCAAAGGCAGAAGGGAGCUUGACUGCGACACCGACGGGUGGAGCAGGUACGAAAGUAGGACUUAGUGAUCCGGUGGUAUAAAGUGGGAUUGCCAUCGCUCAACGGAUAAAAGCUACCCUGGGAUAACAGGCUUAUCACUCCCAAGAGUUCACAUCGACGUAGUGGUUUGGCACCUCGAUGUCGGCUCAUCGCAUCCUGGGGCUGUAGCAGGUCCCAAGGGUUGGGCUGUUCGCCCAUUAAAGCGGUACGCGAGCUGGGUUCAGAACGUCGUGAGACAGUUCGGUCCCUAUCCGGCGCGGGCGGAGGAUAUUUGAGAGGAGCUGUCCUUAGUACGAGAGGACCGGGAUGGACGGACCACUGGUGUAUCUGUUGUCGACCAACGGCAUGGCAGAGUAGCCAAGUCCGGAAGGGAUAAACGCUGAAGGCAUCUAAGCGUGAAGCCCCCCUCAAGAUGAGAUAUCCCUCCUUCGGGAGUAAGACCCCUUGAAGACUACAAGGUAGAUAGGGCAGAGGUGGAAGUGUGGCAACACAUGGAGCUGACUGUUACUAAUAGGUCGAGGGCUU
rnacentral:rRNA from 1 species